CCAUCCGUCGAAGGGCGGUAUGGAGCCUCGGUUGCCUGUGUUGGGUGAUGGGGUGCUCAUUGGUCGGAGACACUGGCUAGUUGGUCUUGGCAGCGGUUUGAUGCUCUUGUACACGCUCCUCUUGUGGGGGUGGGGGAAGGGGUUGAUGAUGCGGCUGGGGUUGGCGGUGAACACCCUGUUGGGUCCUGAAGGAAUGACCGUGUGGUUGUUUCUUGGGCCGUUGUUUCUGUGAUGUCACUGUUGUGGUGGUGUUGCGGGGAUGGUGGUUUUGCCUGG
rnacentral:misc_RNA from 1 species